GUAGGCCGAGCCGAAUCCUACUCCACUGGUACUCUGUGGAGCCCAUGUCGAGCGAAGAAGGUUGUCGAGAGCAGGUUGCUUGCGCCUUGCGGGCUGCGCGCCGCCUUUGCCCUCCCGGCCUUCCCUUCCAUCGCGACUUGGGUUGCGGACUCUCUUUCCAUCUUCUUCUUCGCUUCCCCCCAAAAGCUCCUCCUCUCCAUCGAUUCCAUUCCAUUCGAAUUAGCGAUCGCCCACUACCCGCAACCUCCUACCUUAGGCAGCGCCAAACCCUAACCUUACUCGGGUACGCCACCAAUGGCUGAGUCGGAGGACGCCACCGCCGCCGAGCCCGGGUCCGGGCCGCCCCACGAGGACGAGGAUGCGCUGCUCGCCCGCGCCCACACCGUCAUCUCCAGGAUCAUCGACCGCGAGCUCGACCCCAACCCCCGCCUCCUCCACACCCUCGCCACCAUGUGCGAGCUCCACGAAGCCAGAUAUCUUGAGUUACGUUCAGCUGACACAAUGUUCAAUAGCACGAACACAAGGACUGCAUUUACAAUUGGGAAGCUGGCCAAUUUGCUCCGGGACAAUGACGAGUUUUACGAGUUGGUGUUUUGUAAAUUCUUGUCUGACACCUCCUACUCUGUUGCUGUACGAGCUGCCACUGCUAGGUUGCUCUUGAGCUGUCACCCUGCCUGGACGCCUCCGUAUCCUCAUGUCUUUGAAGACUCUAUCAUAGAUAAUAUUAAGAAGUGGGUAACGGAGGAUCCUGAAGCGUCUAAUGAAUGCAAAUGGAAGUAUCUAGGAAACAAUAAACCCACAGAUGCUGAGAUGCUGAGAACAUAUGGGAUUGGUUUGCUUGCUAUGGCGUUGUGCAGCAGUGGGCAAUUGAUAGAGGAUGUCUUGACUUUGGGGGUAUCAGCGAAGCUCAUGCGCUAUUUGCGCAUAAGAGUCCUUGGGGAUGCCUCAUCUUCUCAGAGAGAUGCUAAUCAUCCACAGGACACCAAGCAUCCUUGGGGCGGAGACGACAGUAGGGGUAAAUCACGUCUGUCCCAAGAUGGUUCUCGAUUGGACGGAACAAGGGUUGGGUAUGGAAUGUUAACCAACCCGACAGCAGAGAAGAACAACGAACCUUGUGUUGGAAUGAUGCAAGCAUAUGGAGCAAGGUCAUUGGAUGACAGUUUUGCUUCAUUGGAUGAUUCUGAUGUCCCUGAGGCUGAUUGGACCAAUGAUAGAUCUUAUAGCACACGUGUUUGUGACACAAAGUCAAAACAUGGGGAAAGGAAUUCUGUGACGAGGUUGCUUAAAGAUGAAGAGGUCAGCGAAAAUGGUGAACUGUUGAAGAGAAAGCUGAAUCGAGCCCCCUCCCGACUUAGAGUGAAGGGAAAAGCAGGUGACAGCUUGCCAGAAUGUGAAAUGACACCUUUAUCGCCAACCUCUGGAUUGAGAAUAGGAGGUCAGGCUACAAGAGACAGGAAUGUGGCGAGGGUUGAUGAUCCAAAGGAGGCAACUGAUGUGAACAAUAGAUUGUUUAACACCAUUUCCAAAGAAGAAUACGAAGAUCGAUUCAGGGAUUGCAUUAUUGGCUUGAAGGAUAUAUCUGACAUCGUUUUGAAGGCAGUGAGAGCCGCUGAGGCUGAGGCCAGAUCUGCAAAUGCACCUGAUGAAGCUGUGAAAGCAGCAGGUGACGCUGCUGCCGAGCUUGUGAAAUUUGCUGCUUUGGAGGUUUGGAAAAGCGAAAAUAACAGUGAUGCGGUUGUAGUAGUGGCGGAGAAAGCUGCAUCUGCUGUUGUUGAGGCUGCAUUGUCAAUUAGUGUCUCACGAAGUGCAAAUCAAGUUGGUGAAGAGCGUGCAAUGGAAGAAGCUGUCCAAACCAGCGAAGACCAGGAUUUGGAAAAUUUUGUUAUCAGUGACAAAGCACAGCUAUUACAACUUAGAGAAAAUUAUAGCAUCCAGUGUCUACAGAUUUUAGGAGAGUAUGUUGAAGCUUUGGGUCCUGUACUCCAUGAAAAAGGUGUUGAUGUUUGCCUCACAUUAUUGCAAAGGAGCAUGAAAAACCAGGAGGGAUGUGACCACUUUGCUCAACUCCUUGAUGUCCUUAAAUUGGUUUGUGCACUGGCUGCCCAUCGAAAAUUUGCUGCACUCUUUGUUGAUCGUGGUGGUAUUCAGAAAAUCGUCUCUAUGCCUAGAGUUACCCAGACAUAUAUGGGUCUUUCUGCCUGCUUAUUCACUUUUGGGUCUCUUCAGUCUACCAUUGAACGUGUUUGUGCGCUUUCCUCAGACACACUUGACAGUGUUGUUGAAUUAGCACUUCUACUUCUUGAGUGCCCACAAGAUUUAGCUAGAAAAAAUGUGGCCAUCUUUUUCGCUGCUGCUUUUGUGUUCAAAGCUGUUCUGGAUCUAUUUGAUGCCCGGAAUGGGAUGCAAAAGCUUCUCGAUAUCCUUUGUGGAUGCGCGUCUGGAAGGUCUGGUAGUAAUUCUGGAGGAGCAGGAUCCUCCAAUGUAAAUCAAGGGAAUGAUCGGUCGCCUGCUGAAGUUUUGACUGCAUCAGAGAAGCAAGUUGCAUACCAUACAUGUGUUGCUCUACGGCAAUACUUUAGAGCUCAUCUCCUUCAGCUUGUUGAUUCCAUUCGGCCAAGCAAAAGUAUCCGUAGUAUUGCCCGGAACACUUCUAGUGCAAGAGCUGGCUGCAAACCUUUUGACAUCAGCAAUGAAGCUAUGGAUGCCAUCUUUUGUCAGAUCCAACGGGACAGAAAGUUAGGCCUUGCUCUUGUGAGAGCUUGCUGGCUUGCGUUGGAUAAAUUUGUUGCCUCAAAUGGUCACAUGACUAUGCUGGAGUUGUGUAAGUUUCAGGCACAUGGUGAUCGGUAUUUGCGUGACUUAACUCAAUAUGCAAUUGGAGUUCUUCACAUCAUAACACUUAUGCCACAGCCACAUGUCCGCAAAUCAAUAGUGCAGGGGACAUUAAGCAACAAUCGUGCUGGCAUGGCUGUCUUAUUAGACACGGUGAAAAGUCUCGACUAUAUUGAUCAUGAGGUGAUCUGUCCAGCACUGAAUGUCCUCGUCAAUCUUGUAUGCCCACCUCCUUCUAUCAGCAACAAACCAUUGUCAAGUUCCAAUCAGCAACCUGCAGCUGCACAAGCGCUUGCUUCAGAAAGCAGAGAAAAGAACUUUGAAAAAACUAUUUCAGAUAGGAAUCUACUUACAAACCUGGGUGAAUCUCGUGAAAGAUCUGGUGAUGGCAACCCUGCUGAAAAGAACAAUACCUUGCAUCAAGGAACUCCUAGCACACCUGUUGUGCCAUCUGGAGUAGUCGGUGAUCGAAGAAUAAUGUUAGGAGUUGGAGGUGGUGGUCCUGGUCUUGCUGCUCAAUUGGAACAAGGGUACCGCCAAGCUCGAGAAGUUGUAAGAGCCAAUAAUGGCAUAAAGAUUCUUUUGCAGCUUCUUGGUUCUCGGAUGGUUACACAUCCUGUGGCUAUAGAUUCUAUUCGAGCCCUUGCCUGCCGUGUUCUUCUUGGCCUGGCUAGAGACGAUACAAUUGCACAUAUACUGACAAAGCUCCAGGUGGGGAAGAAAUUAUCAGAACUGAUCCGUGAUAUCAGUGCUCAGACAUCUGGGGGCGAUAGUGGAAGAUGGCAAACUGAGCUGACCCAAGUGGCAAUUGAACUAAUUGGGGUAUUGACGAAUUCUGGAAAAGAAACAACACUAGCGGCAACUGAUGCUGCUGCCCCAGCAUUGAGGCGCAUUGAGCGAGCUGGGAUAGCUGCUGCUGCUCCUAUCUCUUACCAUUCGAGGGAACUGAUGCAGUUGAUACAUGAACAUCUCCUUGGGUCUGGUUUUGCUGCCACCGCUGCUAUGCUCCAGAAGGAGGCUGGCCUUGCACCUUUACCAUUGACAGCAGCGGUGCUUCCUGCCCAUCAAGUUGCUGCCCUGGAAGCAUCAUCUGUUCAGCAACAGUGGCCCUCUGGACAUGUUCAGGGAUUUCUCUCAGAUAAAAUAAACACGUCGACAUAUCAAUCUGCCCAGAGAUCAGAUCCUAAGCUGCCUUCAUCUAAGAAAAAGGCACUGGCCUUCUCAUCCAGUUUCUCACGAAGAGCUCGGUCUCCGCAUCCAAGCAACAUCCUUAAAAGUCCUGUACCUAUUGCGGCUGAUACUGGAGAUGCAGAAAUGUUGAAUAAAGCACCACUGUCGCUGCCACUUAAGCGGAACUUUGUGGAUGUGAAGGAUAUUAGUUUUGCAUCAGCAUCGAAGCGCCUUGCAAUAACUGAUCAAAUAUACCAAUCCUCUGCAUUCCAAACUCCUGCUCCUACUCGCAAAGGUCUGUCGGUAUCAGUUGAUUCUCCUACUUCAUCUCAUUGCGGUUGGACAAACUUCAACAAUGCUUUUACUGAAAACUUGGACAAUUCUCAAGGCACACCAGGAGCAUUGACCACCACAGCACUUCCUGGUGUAAAUGACCAACAAUCAGGAAAUUUGGAGCGUAUGACACUUGACUCACUGGUUGUACAAUACCUGAAACAUCAACACCGCCAAUGUCCUGCCCCAGUUACAACUUUGCCACCACUUUCUCUUUUGCACCCUCAUGUUUGCCCUGAGCCUAGUCGCAGCCUUAGUGCACCGGCAAACAUAGCUGCUCGAGUGGGAAGCCGUGAGAUAAGUAGGCAAUUUAGUGGGAUCCAGAUACCUCGUAGGGAUCGUCAUUUUAUAUACAGUAGGUUCAAGCAGUGUCGUGUUUGCCGUGAUGAGGCAUCACUAUUGACUUGCUUGACAUUUCUUGGAGAUGCAGCUCGAGUUGUGGCUGGUAACCACACAGGUGAAUUAAGGAUAUUUGACUGCAACACGGCAAAUCUCCUUGAGACUCAAACGUGCCACCAACAUCUUGUUACAAUGAUGGAAUCGACAUACACUGGUGGAAUUGAGAUGAUUCUCACAUCCAGCCUAAAUGAGGUUAAGAUCUGGGAUGCCUUCUCGGUAUCUGCAGGGCCUUUGCACACAUUUGACGACUGCAAAUCUGCUAGGUUUAACCACUAUGGAACUUCAUUUGCUGCCCUUUCUACUGAUACAGCUCAACGGGAGGUUCAGUUGUAUGAUGUACAGACGUAUACUCUUGCUACACGGCUUCCUGAUAACACUAGCAGUUCAGGUUCAGGCCGUGGUUAUGUACAACCCAUUAUACAUUUCAGUCCUUCAGAUACAAUGUUGCUUUGGAAUGGAGUCCUGUGGGAUACAAGGCAACCAAAUCCUGUUCAUCAGUUUGACCAGUUCACAGAUUACUGUGGUGGUGGAUUCCAUCCAGCAGGAAAUGAGGUGAUCCUGAAUUCGGAGGUGUGGGAUCUGAGGAAGUUCAAGCUUUUGAGGAGUGUCCCUUCCCUGGACCAGACAGUAAUAAAGUUUAACGGAACUGGUGAUGUUAUCUAUGCCACCCUGAGGCGUAAUCUUGAUGACGUGACAUCAUGCAUCAAUGCUCGUAGGGUCAGGCAUCCUCUUUUCCCUGCAUUCAGCACGAUUGAUGCGGUGACUUACUCGGAUAUUGCAACCGUCCAAAUGGACCGCUGUGUACUUGAUCUUGCCACUGAGUCCAAUGAUUCUCUUAUUGGGGUGGUUGCUAUGGACGAUCACCAGGAGCUUUUCUCUUCUGCUCGCUUGUUCGAAGUUGGCAGGAAGCGAAUAACUGAUGAUGAUUCCGAUCCAGAGGACGCAGGUGAAACUGAUGAUGACUCCGAUGACGACGACGACGACUCCGAUGACGGUGUUCUUGCGCCGGUGCUGGAAGGGGGUACAGAUUCUGAAGAUAUCAGUAGCAGCAGCAGCGAUGACGGUGAUGAAGAUGGUGGUGACGAUGAUAUACCCAGUUCGGAUGGCAUUGAAGAUGACCGGUUCAUUGAUGAGAGACGACGGGAGUUCAUGAUGGAUCUUUUUGGUGACGGUUGGGACGACGAUGAGGCUUAUAUGAUGGGAUCCUUUAGCAGUGGCGACGAGGAGGGUUGGAUCAUAUGUUCGUGGCGUGGGCGUGGCAGAAGCUGACGCCGCAGGCCGCGCACCAGCUGCUGGAACAAGUACUCGUGGAACCGCCCGGCCUGGCAGAUGCGCUCCAGCAGCUUCCCGCCUGCCGCCGCCUACUCCAUCAGGAUCGCCAAGAUUAUUAAAGGAUACACCGGAAAAAAGCACAAAGGCCUGAAGAACGUACCGAAAUAGAUAAACACCUCAUUUUUCAAAAGGACUCUUCCACCCCUGGUAAAUUUUCGAGUACACUCUCCCACCUCGACUAACGUACGUGUGUUGGUUUGCGGUUUGCACGUUCAUUGUAAAAUAGCAAGCAAGAUCACAAGAGGUCAAAACCAGACAAGACCGUUCUUUUAGGACGUAUGCAAUGCAAUACAAUAGUAGUGACGAGCGCGAGAAGAUAGAUUAAUGAAGAAUAUAGCUAGGGCAAAGAGAUUCGGUCCCUAGUACCGUCGUCAAAAAGUAUAUAUGUUGCAGGAAAGUUUCAGUCUAUAGUAGUCUACACCUGGCCAAAUGAGCCCGGCCGGUCUAGCUUGUUUCGAGCAGCUCCCAACAAUACUCGGUCGACAUGAUCAAAUUUCUCUCUAUAAAAAACAGUGUAGUUUCGUAUA